rnacentral:rRNA from 1 species
AGAGUUUGAUCCUGGCUCAGGAUGAACGCUGGCGGCGUGCCUAACACAUGCAAGUCGAGCGAACCCUUUGGGGUGAGCGGUGGACGGGUGAGUAACGCGUGGGUAACCUGCCCUAUACAUACGGAUAACGUACCGAAAGGUACACUGAUACCAGAUAACAUAUUUUUAUCGCAUGGUAUAAAUAUCAUAGUCUCCGGCGGUAUAUGAUGGACCCGCGUCAGAUUAUCUAGUUGGUAAGGUAAUGGCUUACCAAGGCGACGAUCAGUAGCCGACCUGAGAGGGUGAUCGGCCACAUUGAAACUGAGACACGGUCCAAACUCCUACGGGAGGCAGCAGUGGGGAAUAUUGCACAAUGGGCGAAAGCCUGAUGCAGCAACGCCGCGUGAGCGAUGAAGGCCUUCGGGUCGUAAAGCUCUGUCCUCAAGGAAGAUAAUGACGGUACUUGAGGAGGAAGCCCCGGCUAACUACGUGCCAGCAGCCGCGGUAAUACGUAGGGGGCUAGCGUUAUCCGGAAUUACUGGGCGUAAAGGGUGCGUAGGUGGUUUCUUAAGUCAGAGGUGAAAGGCUACGGUUCAACCGUAGUAAGCCUUUGAAACUGAGAAACUUGAGUGCAGGAGAGGAGAGUAGAAUUCCUAGUGUAGCGGUGAAAUGCGUAGAUAUUAGGAGGAAUACCAGUUGCGAAGGCGGCUCUCUGGACUGUAACUGACACUGAGGCACGAAAGCGUGGGGAGCAAACAGGAAUAGACUCCCUGGUAGUCCACACCGUAAACGAUGAGUACCAGCCGGGCGGAGGUUACCCCCUGCGGUGGCGCACCUAACUCAUUAACUAAUCCACCUGGGGGAGUACGACCGCGAGGUUGAAACUCAAAGGAAUGGACGGGGGCCCGCACAAGCACUGGAGUAUGUGGUUUAAUUAGAAGCAACGCGAAGACCCUUGCCAGGUCUUGACAUGGGAUGCAUAGUGCAGAGUUGCAUGAAGUCCUUCGGGACAUCCCGACAGGUGGUGCAUGGUUGUCGUCAGCUCGUGUGGUGAGAUGUUGGGUUAAGUCCCGCAAGGAGCGCAACCCUUAUGCUUAGUUAGUACGCAAGAGGACUUUAAGCAGACUGCCCUGACAAAACGGAGGAAGGUGGGGAUAGACGUCAAAUCCUCCUGCCCCUUAUGACCUGGGCCACCCCCGUAGUUCCAUGGGUAUUAACAAAGAGAAGCGAAGUCGCGAGGCAGAGCAAACCUCAUAAAAAUAGUCUCAGUUCGGAUCGCAGGCUGCAACCCGCCUGCGUGAAGCCGGAAUUGCUAGUAAUCGCGGAUCAGCAUGCCGCGGUGAAUACGUUCCCGGGCCUUGCACACACCGCCCGUCA